AUUGGGUUAAGGGUGCGCAGGCGGGGGAUUAGGUCGGCGGUGAAAUAUCAGGGCUCAACCUUGAGAGUGCCGUCGAAACCGGUUUUCUUGAGUGCGGAUGAAGUAGGCGGAAUUUGUGGUGUAGCGGUGAAAUGCGUAGAUAUCACAAAGAACACCGAUUGCGGAGGCAGCUUACUAAACCGCAACUGACGCUCAUGCACGAAGGCGUGGGGAUCAAACAGGAUUAGAUACCCUGGUAGUCCACGCAGUAAACGAUGAUUACUAGCUGUUUGCGAUACAAUGUAAGCGGCUGAGCGAAAGCGUUAAGUAAUCCACCUGGGGAGUACGUUCGCAAGAAUGAAACUCAAAGGAAUUGACGGGGGCCCGCACAAGCGGAGGAACAUGUGGUUUAAUUCGAUGAUACGCGAGGAACCUUACCCGGGCUUGAAAUGCAUCUGACCGGGCCGGAAACGGUCUUUCCCAGCGAUGGGCAGAUGUGUAGGUGCUGCAUGGUUGUCGUCAGCUCGUGCCGUGAGGUGUCGGCUUAAGUGCCAUAACGAGCGCAACCCUCAUCGUCAGUUACCAUCGGGUAAAGCCGGGGACUCUGACGAGACUGCCAUCGUAAGAUGCGAGGAAGGUGGGGAUGACGUCAAAUCAGCACGGCCCUUAUGUCCGGGGCGACACACGUGUUACAAUGGGCGGUACAGCGGGGAGCUACCUGGCGACAGGGAGCCGAUCCCGAAAGCCGCUCACAGUUCGGAUCGGAGUCUGCAACUCGACUCCGUGAAGUCGGAUUCGCUAGUAAUCGCGCAUCAGCCACGGCGCGGUGAAUACGUUCCCGGGCCUUGUACACACCGCCCGUCAAGCCAUG
rnacentral:rRNA from 1 species